GAUGAACGCUGGCGGCGUGCCUAAUACAUGCAAGUCGAGCGAACGGACGAGAAUCUUGCUUUUCUGAUGUUAGCGGCGGACGUGUGAGUAACACGUGGAUAACCUACCUAUAAGUCUGGUAUAACUUCGGGAAACCGGAGCUAAUACCGGAUAAUAUUUUGAACCGCAUGGUUCAAAAGUUAAAGACGGUCUUGCUGUCUCUUAUAGAUGUAUCCGGGAUGCAUUAGCUAGUUGGUAAGGUAACGGCUUACCAAGGCAACGAUGCGUAGCCGAACUGAGAGGGUGAUCGGCCAGACGGGAAGUGAGACACGGACCAGACUACUAAGGGAGGCAGCAGUAGGGAAUCGUCGGCAAUGGGCGAAAGCAUGACGGAGCAAAGCCGAGUGAGUGAUGAAGGUCUUGGGAUCGUAAAACUCUGUUAUUAGGGAAGAAAAAAUGUGUAAGUAACUGUGCACAAAUUGACGGUACCUAAUAAGAAAGCAACGGCUAACUACGUG
rnacentral:rRNA from 1 species